UACGUAGGGUGCAAGCGUUGUCCGGAAUUAUUGGGCGUACAGGGCUUCUAGGCAGCCUGUCGCGUCGACUGUGAAAACUCGGGGCUCAACCCCGAGCCUGCAGUCGAUACGGGCAGGCUAGAAUUCGGUAGGGGAGAUCGGAAUUCCUGGUGUAGCGGUGAAAUGCGCAGAUAUCAGGAGGAACACCGGUGGCGAAGGCGGAUCUCUGGGCCGAUAUUGACGCUGAAGAGCGAAAGUGUGGGGAGCAAACAGG
rnacentral:rRNA from 1 species